rnacentral:ncRNA from 1 species
AAAAGAGCUUGAUAAAUGUGUCCUGCUUUGUGCAAACUGUCACAUGGAAUUGCACGACGGUAUUACGCAGCUUCCCAAGGGAAACCCGGGUCGAAAAAGAAAGUGAAUUGUCUGGAAGCCCAAACGUAAAGACGUGGGUAAUCAGCAGCCAAGCCAAGCACUAGCUAGCUAGAGCUCGGAAGGUUCAGAGACUAUCCCGAAAGGGAGUACUCCUAUAAAUUUUGGAGGAAGCGCUUUCCACCUAAACCAAACUGGUAUGGUGAUGAUAUAGUCCAUCCCUCUAGAGACAGAGGA